GACGAACGCUGGCGGCGUGCUUAACACAUGCAAGUCGAACGGAAAGUCCCUGCUUUUGUGGGGUGCUCGAGUUGCGAACGGGUGAGUAACACUUGAGUAACCUGCCCUUGACUUUGGGAUAACUUCAUGAAACUGGGGCUAAUACCGGAUAGGAUCUCCUGCUUCAUGGUGGGGGUUGGAAAGUUUCGGCGGUUGGGGAUGGACUCGCGGCUUAUCAGCUUGUUGGUGGGGUAGUGGCUUACCAAGGCUUUGACGGGUAGCAGGCCUGAGAGGGUAGCCGGCCAAAUUGGGAUUGAAAUGCGACCCAGACUCGUAAGGGAGGCAGCAGUGGGGAAUAUUGCACAAUGGGCGGAAGCCUGAUGCAGCAAAGCAGCGUGCGGGAUGACGGGAUGCGGGUUGGAAACCGAUUUCGCCUGUGACGAAGCGUGAGUGACGGUAAUGGGUAAAGAAGCACCGGCUAACUACGUG
rnacentral:rRNA from 1 species